GUUGGCUCAGAUACCACCCGUGGGAAGACUUUCCUGGUCCCUCCUGGUUUUAUGCCGUUUCCAGGGUUUCUCCUUCCUUCCCUGAUGGUAUAUUUCAGACAAAGUUGAUUCAUUCAUUCUACAAUAUUUAUUGGAUGCCUACUCUUUGUCAAGCGUGGUUCUACUUGCUGUUGAUAAAGGUUUCUUCUCAAGCUUACGCUGCAAUGAGGGAAACAGAAAAUAAAUAUAUGAUAUGGCAGAUGGUGUUUACAGGCCAAGAAGAAAAGCAAGUCAGGUCUAGGGGACAGAGCAACGUUGUGGAAGCAGGCUGUAGGUUUAGGUAAGUUGAUCCAAGACCUUGCUCUUUCCAUCUUCGUCCUCUCCUGCUCUCGUCUCUGCCCUUUCCUCACCUCACGGUCCCGUCUCUUCCUCUCUGCCUCCUUCAUUUCUCUUUCCCUUGUGUUUCCUCUCAGCCCCUUUCCUCCUGUCCUCCACCCCUGCCUUCUUUGGGCCUUCCCUGCCUCUACCUUCUGCUCCUGCCUUGCCUCCCCUUUUUCUAGCCUGCCCCUGCCUCAGCCUCCCUCCCAAAGGGGACUGCGCCGCUGCCCGUGGCCACCUCCUGCCCCUGUCUCUGGGAGUGGGUGUGGGGGGACAGUCCAGCUCCUGCAGGGCAGGUGACCUUCGUGUUCCCUCCACUGCAGGCUCUGGGCUCCUCAUUUACUCGAGCAGUAUGGUGGCUGCCAUAUUCGCCACUCUGAAAGAGAGCUGCAGUGGCACCAAGGAAGCGUGCCUGGCGUUUGCCACGAGCCCGCACUCAUGCUGGCAUCGCACCUGCAUCGGAUGCUUGCUCUUCCGCAGCGUCCUGGGGAGCAGCUUCCUGGCAGUCAGAGCUGGAAGGAUUCUGAGCCUCCGUGCAGUCCGGCCAUGUUCCUGGCCCUCCCUGAGCUCUGGGGGCAGAGCCAGACCGGGAGGGCUAGUCCCGGCCUCCCCCACAAGGCUGUGCAGAGCCGGGACUAGCAGGAGCUGA
rnacentral:lncRNA from 1 species